rnacentral:rRNA from 1 species
UACGUAGGUGGCAAGCGUUGUCCGGAAUUAUUGGGCGUAAAGCGCGCGCAGGCGGUUAUGUAAGUCUGAUGUUAAAGCCCGGGGCUCAACCUCGGGUCGCAUUGGAAACUGUGUAACUUGAGGGCAGAAGAGGAAAGUGGUAUUCCACGUGUAGCGGUGAAAUGCGUAGAUAUGUGGAGGAACACCAGUGGCGAAGGCGACUUUCUGGUCUGUAACUGACGCUGAGGCGCGACAGCGUGGGGAGCAAACAGG